AGUUUGAUCCUGGCUCAGAUUGAACGCUGGCGGCAGGCCUAACACAUGCAAGUCGAACGGUAGCACAGAGAGCUUGCUCUUGGGUGACGAGUGGCAGACGGGUGAGUAAUGUCUGGGAAACUGCCCGAUGGAGGGGGAUAACUACUGGAAACGGUAGCUAAUACCGCAUAACGUCUUCGGACCAAAGUGGGGGACCUUCGGGCCUCACACCAUCGGAUGUGCCCAGAUGGGAUUAGCUAGUAGGUGGGGUAACGGCUCACCUAGGCGACGAUCCCUAGCUGGUCUGAGAGGAUGACCAGCCACACUGGAACUGAGACACGGUCCAGACUCCUACGGGAGGCAGCAGUGGGGAAUAUUGCACAAUGGGCGCGAGCCUGAUGCAGCCAUGCCGCGUGUAUGAAGAAGGCCUUCGGGUUGUAAAGUACUUUCANGUGGGGAGGAAGGCGAAGAGGUUAAUAACCUUUUCGAUUGACGUUACCCGCAGAAGAAGCACCGGCUAACUCCGUGCCAGCAGCCGCGGUAA
rnacentral:rRNA from 1 species